CAGAAAUCCAAGAAUGUGAUCUAUGGCAAGGAAACAUAUGUGGGGUGAGGUGUACGAGCCUCUGGUCGAUGAUCAAUGGCCACAGAACCCCCAUUUUGCCGAAAAUAGCCAUGAACGACCAUUUUCAAUAAUACCGAAGGCUAACACGUACGAGUUUUUGACCAAGAAAUGGUCUCCACCAAAAAUCCAAGAAUGUGAUCUAUGGCAAGGAAACAUAUGUGGGGUGAGAUUUAUGAGCCUCUAGUCGAUGAUAAAUGGCCACACAACCCCCAUUUUUUUAUGAAAAUAGCCAUGAGCGACCAUUUUCAAUAAUAUUAGAGGCUAAGACCUACGGAUUUUUGACCAAGAAAUGGUCUCCACCAGAAAUCCAAGAAUGUGAUCUAUGGCAAGGAAACAUAUGUGGGGUGAGGUGUAUGAGCCUCUGGUCGAUGAUCAAUGGCCACACAACCCCCAUUUUUGUCGAAAAUAGCCAUGAAUGACCAUUUACAAUAAUACCGAAGGCUAACACCUACGGAUUUUUUACCAAGAAAUGGUCUCCACCAGAAAUCCAAGAAUGUGAUCUAUGGCAAGGAAACAUAUGUGGGGUGAGGUGUAUGAGCCUCUGGUCG
rnacentral:lncRNA from 1 species